rnacentral:rRNA from 1 species
UACGUAGGGGGCAAGCGUUGUCCGGAAUCAUUGGGCGUAAAGCGCGUGUAGGCGGCUGAGUAAGUCUGCUCUGAAAGCCCGGGGCUCAACCCCGGGAGGCGGGUGGAUACUGCUCAGCUCGAGUCCGGAAGAGGAGUGUGGAAUUCCUGGUGUAGCGGUGAAAUGCGCAGAUAUCAGGAGGAACACCAAUGGCGAAGGCAGCACUCUGGGACGGUACUGACGGCUGAGACGCGAAAGCGUGGGGAGCAAACAGG